CAGAAGAUAAAGGUGACACAAUUGUAAUGUAAAUCAGAAAUAUCUCUAGCGAAAGGCUCAAAUUGUUUGUAUUAGACGGAUACUACUCUAAGAUGUGGUUUCUGAACUUUUUAUACUGGGAAGAGAGAUUAGUUUCUUAAUUUAGGAAAAUAAAGUUAAACUCUGUCAUUUUAAGCUGUCUAAUCAAGAAUGAAUAGAGACUUCCAGUAAAAGCAAAAACUAAAUCAGACAUGUCAUUUGAUCUUACACGUGAAAGUUCGAAUUACCGAGUGGUAGUCAUGGGAACGGCUGGUGUAGGUAAAAGUUCAAUUAUCAGUCAGUUUAUGCACAACAAGUUUACAGAAACACACAAGGAAACCGUGGAAGAAUUACAUCGACACCGGAUGAAAUUUAAUACCAUGUUUGUUGAAAUCGACAUA
rnacentral:misc_RNA from 1 species